GACGAACGCUGGCGGCGGGCUUAACACAUGCAAGUCGAACGGCAAGGCCCUGCUUUUUUUUGGUGCUCGAGUGGCGAAAGGGUGCGUAACACGUGAGUAACCUGCCCUCGACUUUAGGAUAACUUCCGGAAACUGGGGCUAAUACCCCAUAGGAGCUCCUGCUGCAUGGUGGGGGUUGGAAAAUUUCGGCGGGUGGGGAAGGACCCUCGGCUUAUGGGAUUGUUGGUGGGGUAGGGGCUUACCAAGGCGUUGGCGGGUAGCCGGCCCGAGCGGGUGACCGGCGACAUUGGCACGGAGAUACGGCGCAGAAGCCGACGGGAGGAAGCAGUGGGGAUUAUUGCACAAUGGGCGGAAGGCUGCUGGAGGAACGCAGGGUGCGUGAGGACGGCAUUCGGGUUGUAAACCGAUUUCGCCUGUGACGAAGCGUGAGUGACGGUAAUGGGUAAAGAAGCAACGGCUAACUACGUG
rnacentral:rRNA from 1 species